UACGUAGGGUGCGAGCGUUGUCCGGAAUUAUUGGGCGUAAAGAGCUUGUAGGCGGUUUGUCGCGUCUGCCGUGAAAAUUCGAGGCUCAACCUCGAACUUGCGGUGGGUACGGGCAGACUAGAGUGUGGUAGGGGAGACUGGAAUUCCUGGUGUAGCGGUGAAAUGCGCAGAUAUCAGGAAGAACACCGGUGGCGAAAGCGACUAACUGGACACGUAUUGACGCUGAAGUACGAAAGCCAGGGGAGCAAACGGG
rnacentral:rRNA from 1 species